AAGUAUAAAACGGGGUGGGCCUGUUGUCAUGGGGGAGGUGGUGGCGCUUGGUGGCUUCUGGCGGCCGAGGUAGAGACAGUGGCGCUGGAGUUGGUCGGGGGCAGCGGCAGAUUUGGGCAUGAUCAACUUCUAGGGAAGAGGACCAGUGCCUCUGUUCUUGCAACCAAAGAUCUUGAUCCAUAUCCAGAGAUUGGAAUAUUGGUGGACCAGCCAUCCUCAGACACCUGACUUAGGACAACAUUUUUUUUAGCCCACUUUUGAUUUUAAGAAAUCUGAGUAGAUAAAUUGCUGAUAACAUCUUUGUCCGGUUUGUUCACUGCUUUUUCUUGUCUCCAUUCUACAAGACCUAUGUUUGAGGGGAUAAAAACUCCUUAAGUGAGUGAGAUCUACUUUCUGAUUGAAACUAAAACAAACAACAAUAAAAACUCCAAAAACACCCUAUAGAAAUUACAAACAUAGGGUGUGAGUCUAUGGCACUUUAUUCAAUCUCUGGAAGGAGGUAAAUGAUAAGGUUCUCUUGUAAACAUAAAUUACUUUGGCCUGGCCAGUGUGUCUCAGUGAUUGAGCAGCGUCAGCCCAUGAACCAAGAGGUCAGG